rnacentral:rRNA from 1 species
AGAGUUAAAUAGUACGUGAAAUUGUUGAAAGGGAAACGAUUGAAGUCAGUCAUGCUAGUGAAAAUUCAGUUUGACGGGUUUUGGGUUUGGGAGUAGAGGCAGGGUCAAACCGUUUCUCUUUUGAACUUGGGAUUUGUCAGAUGCACUUUUUCUCCGGCAGGUCAGCGUCGAUUUCGGAGGUUGUAAAAUACUUGGGGUAAAGUAACUCUGCUUCGGUAGAGUAUUAUAGACCUUGAGGGAUGCAGCUUGCGGGAUCGAGGAUUGCAGCAAAUGCCUUUGGCUUGGCGCCUGAUCUCUGGAUGUUACCUCGCUUGUGACAACAUUCUUGCCUCCGGUGAGUACUAAUGCCCAUUAGGUUAGAACGGAUUAAAUUCGUUAAGGAUGUUGACGUAAUGACUUUAAACGACC